rnacentral:misc_RNA from 1 species
AAACUCGCUUGAAACUUGCAUCUGGGAAUGAAAAUGACAAGGAACAACUUCAGUGGUUUUGCAAUGCAUGCAAAGGAAUUCCUUCGAUGAUGCACCCCACAUUUAUGAAUGGUAACCAUGGUUCGGGUGUUUCGGCAACUGCACCACCAGACUCAGAAGAUGUGGAGCUAGCCAUGGCCAUUAAUGCUUCCAUCCAGUCAGCUAUCCAUGGGAGACCACCCUUUCCCGAUCCCAACCAAAGUUCUGAAGCAAGUACCUCUAGUAGCCAUACAGGUCCAGUUGCACCGACAACAAA